rnacentral:sRNA from 15 species
GUCAAGAACUCGUCGUUAAGUUUGCUAUUAACUAUAACGGGAGCUUUUUACAAGCUCUAACUUGACCAGACUAAGGUUCUUGAAACCUACGUUAUUCAACUCAUGAAACCUAUGAAUGCGUGCCAGUUCUAGCUCUUUC